rnacentral:rRNA from 1 species
AAGCGGGGGAUCUUCGGACCUCGCGCGGUUGGACGGACCGAUGUGCGAUUAGCUAGUUGGUAGGGUAAUGGCCUACCAAGGCGACGAUCGCUAGCUGGUCUGAGAGGAUGAUCAGCCACACUGGAAUUGAGACACGGUCCAGACUCCUACGGGAGGCAGCAGUGGGGAAUAUUGGACAAUGGGCGCAAGCCUGAUCCAGC